GACGAACGCUGGCGGCGUGCUUAACACAUGCAAGUCGAACGCUGAAGCUCAGCUUUUGUUGGGUGGAUGAGUGGCGAACGGGUGAGUAACACGUGAGUAACCUGCCCCCUUCUUUGGUAUAACGCCCGGAAACGGGUGCUAAUACUGGAUAUUCACUGGUCUUCGCAUGGGGGUUGGUGGAAAGGGUUUUUCUGGUGGGGGAUGGGCUCGCGGCCUAUCUGCUUGUUGGUGGGGUGAUGGCCUACCAAGGCUUUGACGGGUAGCCGGCCUGAGAGGGUGACCGGUCACAUGGGGACAGAGAUACGGCAGAGACUAGUACGGGAGGCAGAAGUGAGGAAGAUAGCAAAAUGGGGGCAAGCCGGAUGCGGCGAGGCGGCGUGAGGGAUGGAGGCCUUGGGGUUGUGAACAUAUUAGGCUCAGGGUCAAGCCGCAACAAUGGUAGGGGAGAGGGUAGUGGGUAAAGAAGCGCCGGCGAA
rnacentral:rRNA from 1 species